AACGCACAUUGCGCCCUUUGGCAUUCCGAGGGGCAUGCCCGUUCGAGCGUCAUUAAAUCUACUCAAGCCUGGCUUGGUAUUGGGCGACGGGGACCCCCCGCGCCUCCAUUUCGCCGGCUGGCCGUCGUUUGACUUAGCGUUGUGACACAUGUCGCUGACGAUGAAGACGGAUCACGCCGUUAAACCCCCUUGAAUGUCUUCGGGCGUUCAGUAAAGGUUGACCUCGGAUCGGGUAGGAAUACCCGCUGAACUUAA
rnacentral:misc_RNA from 1 species